GACGAACGCUGGCGGCGUGCUUAACACAUGCAAGUCGAACGGAAAGGCCUCUUUCGGGGGGUACUCGAGUGGCGAACGGGUGAGUAACACGUGAGUAACCUGCCCUUGACUUUGGGAUAACUUCAGGAAACUGGGGCUAAUACCGGAUAGGAGCUCCUGCUGCAUGGUGGGGGUUGGAAAGUUUCGGCGGUUGGGGAUGGACUCGCGGCUUAUCAGCUUGUUGGUGGGGUAGUGGCUUACCAAGGCUUUGACGGGUAGCCGGCCUGAGAGGGUGACCGGCCACAUUGGGACUGAGAUACGGCCCAGACUCCUACGGGAGGCAGCAGUGGGGAAUAUUGCACAAUGGGUGGAAGCCUGAUGCAGCAACGCCGUGUGCGGGAUGACGGCCUUCGGGUUGUAAACCGCUUUCGCUCAUGACGAAGCUUUGUGUGACGGUAGUGAGUAAAGAAGCACCGGCUAACUACGUG
rnacentral:rRNA from 1 species